UGGGGAAUAUUGGACAAUGGGGGGAACCCUGAUCCAGCCAUGCCGCGUGUGUGAAGAAGGCCUUAUGGUUGUAAAGCACUUUAAGCGAGGAGGAGGGUACUGGUAUUAAUACUACCAGGUACUGUACGUUACUCGCAGAAUAAGCACCGGCUAACUCUGUGCCAGCAGCCGCGGUAAUACAGAGGGUGCGAGCGUUAAUCGGAUUUACUGGGCGUAAAGCGUGCGUAGGCGGCUAAUUGAGUCGGAUGUGAAAUCCCCGAGCUUAACUUGGGAAUUGCAUUCGAUACUGGUUAGCUAGAGUGUGGGAGAGGAUGGUAGAAUUCCAGGUGUAGCGGUGAAAUGCGUAGAGAUCUGGAGGAAUACCGAUGGCGAAGGCAGCCAUCUGGCCUAACACUGACGCUGAGGUACGAAAGCAUGGGGAGCAAACAGG
rnacentral:rRNA from 1 species